AUACGUAGGUGACAAGCGUUAUCCGGAUUUACUGGGCGUAAAGGGCGUGUAGGCGGUCUUGCAAGUCAGAAGUGAAAUUCCUGAGCUCAACUCGGGCGCUGCUUCUGAAACUGCAGGACUUGAGUGCUGGAGGGGAUGGCGGAAUUCCUAGUGGAGCGGUAAAAUGCGCAGAUAUUAGGAAGAACACCGGUGGCGAAGGCGGCUAUCUGGACAGUAACGGACGCUGAGGCGCGAAAGCGUGGGGAGCAAACAGGAUUAGAUACCCUGGUAGUCCACGCUGUAAACGAUGAAUACUAGGUGUAGGGGGUAUCGACUCCCUCUGUGCCGCAGUUAACACAAUAAGUAUUCCGCCUGGGGAGUACGGCCGCAAGGUUGAAACUCAAAUGAAUUGGCGGGG
rnacentral:rRNA from 1 species